CUGACACGUAGGAAGGUCCCAGGGGCCCAGGUCAGAGCAGGCCCAGCAGGCAGGGAGAGGCAGGGAAGUGUGCGUGUAGAUCCCGGAGAGCAUGCUAUCCAUCCUACCUGUCGGAGGCUGUCCUGUGGAGAAGGGCCCUCUCCACACCUGGGCCGGCAGGGCCCGCACCAGCAGCUGGCGUCCAUUCUGACGAGGGGGUUGCGAAUGCAGCCUGCAUGACCCACCGGUUCUAUCCUCCUGACGUGGAUCGUGUUGUGGGAAGAACGUUGACUGGCAGCAGUAUUUUCAGUAACAAUGAAGUCAAACACUACCAUGAAUUUAGAUGUGGAGUGAACAAAGUGUCCGGCCUUCAUCAGAUACUCAAGAAAUUCGGACGGAGCAGAUGUCCUUGCACGUAAUUCACACCUUAAGCCCAAACAUAAUGCAAUGAGUUUUUAUUUUGUUUCAAAGCAUCAAUGUGUGCUCUUUU